rfam:Salmo salar isolate Sally breed double haploid chromosome ssa13, whole genome shotgun sequence.
AAGUACAAUUAUUGUAAGUUGCUCUGGAUAAUAGCGUCUGCUAAAUGACACAAA